GACGGGGGGGGCAAGUGUUCUUCGGAAUGACUGGGCGUAAAGGGCACGUAGGCGGUGAAUCGGGUUGAAAGUGAAAGUCGCCAAAAACUGGCGGAAUGCUCUCGAAACCAAUUCACUUGGGUGAGACAGAGGAGAGUGGAAUUUCGUGUGUAGGGGUGAAAUCCGCAAAUCUACGAAGGAAGGCCAAAAGCGAAGGCAGCUCUCUGGGUCCCUACCGACGCUGGGGUGCGAAGGCAUGGGGAGCGAACAGG
rnacentral:rRNA from 1 species